GGAAGUAACAAGGUUUCCGUAGGUGAACCUGCGGAAGGAUCAUUAUUGUAUAACCGAGGUGCGAGGGCUGUCGCUGACCCGAAAGGUCGUGCACGCCCGAGUGCCCUCACACACAUCCAUCUCACCCCUAUGUGCACCACCGCGUGGGUCCCCCUUUGGCUUGUUCGGAGGGGGGCUUACGUUUUCACACAAACUUUGUAUGCAGUGUAGAAUGUAUUUUUUGUUUUUGCGAUCACGCAAUCAAUACAACUUUCAACAACGGAUCUCUUGGCUCUC
rnacentral:misc_RNA from 1 species